UACGUAGGGGGCAAGCGUUAUCCGGAUUUACUGGGUGUAAAGGGAGCGCAGGCGGUAUGGCAAGUCAGAUGUGAAAACCCAGGGCCCAACCCUGGGACUGCAUUUGAAACUGCCAUACUGGAGUGCCGGAGAGGUAAGUGGAAUUCCUAGUGUAGCGGUGAAAUGCGUAGAGAUCGGGAGGAACACCAGUGGCGAAGGCGGCCUGCUGGGCUUUAACUGACGCUCAGGCACGAAAGCAUGGGUAGCAAACAGG
rnacentral:rRNA from 1 species